rnacentral:rRNA from 1 species
UACGUAGGGGGCAAGCGUUACUCGGAUUUACUGGGCGUAAAGCGCGUGUAGGCGGCUGGUCAAGCGUGAUGUGAAAUCUCCGGGCUCAACCCGGAAACUGCAUCGCGAACUGGCCUGGCUAGAGUGCAGGAGAGGGCGGCGGAAUUCCCGGUGUAGCAGUGAAAUGCGUAGAGAUGUGGAGGAACACCGAUGGCGAAGGCAGCCCCCUGGGUCAAGAUUGACGCUCAUGCACGAAAGCGUGGGGAGCAAACAGG